GACGAACGCUGGCGGCGUGCUUAACACAUGCAAGUCGAACGGAAAGGCCCUGCUUUUGUGGGGUGCUCGAGUGGCGAACGGGUGAGUAACACGUGCGUAACCUGCCCUUGACUUUGGGAUAACUUCAGGAAACUGGGGCUAAUACCGGAUAGGAGCUCCUGCUGCAUGGUGGGGGUUGGAAAGUUUCGGCGGUUGGGGAUGGACUCGCGGCUUAUCAGCUUGUUGGUGGGGUAGUGGCUUACCAAGGCUUUGACGGGUAGCCGGCCUGAGAGGGUGACCGGCCACAUUGGGACUGAGAUACGGCCCAGACUCCUACGGGAGGCAGCAGUGGGGAAUAUUGCACAAUGGGCGGAAGCCUGAGGCAGCAACGCCGCGUGCGGGAUGACGGCCUUCGGGUUGUAAACCGCUUUCGCCUGUGACGAAGCGUGAGUGACGGUAAUGUGUAAAGAAGCACCGGCUAACUACGUG
rnacentral:rRNA from 1 species